AGUUGCUGCAGCUUCUCUGCCUGCCCCCCUCAUCUAUCCUCUCUAAAGUUCUCAGUCCUACCUCCUCACCUCCAACAACCAGCAUCAAAAAGAAGCACAUCAGACAGCUGCCCAUUCUAAGCAUGUGCUUUGUAUCUCCAGCAUAAACAGAAGGCUUUUAUGAAACCAAACAUGUACCUUCUUUUCACUCUUUUGAAUGAUCAGAGUAGAGAUUUUUCUUCCUAAUCAGUACCGUGGCUCCCAAAGAUUGUUAGAACCAAGCUCAUGAAGAAUGAACGCAAAAGAAUGAUUAUGGUCUUGAGGGGAACAUGAUGAGUCUUCUUUUGAUCUCCUGACGACCCAUCUUCACUGGGUAAAACAAACAAAGGUUAGAAUCUGUGACUCUGCCUCCAGAAUUCUGCUUGGCAUUUUCACAUAACUGUGUUCAAGACAGAAAGUUCUGAAAAUAAUGGAGCCACCAGCAGACUUCCCCUCCCAUCUCAGUCAGCAUGGAGGCACCAGGCCAGUCUGAGCUAUAGAGAAGCAAAGAAAGAACUGUGUUUCCUUAGUUCCCGCAUUUCCAAGUCUUCAAGAUCAUGAGAGCUGUACCUUUGAGACACCCAAGCACGCUGUCCAGUUGCUGACUCAACUCAGAAGGUCAGGACCACAGAGACAAGCAGACAGGUGAACUGGAGGUUACCACCGAAAGAACUGAAUGCCUGAUACAUAAUAACAGAGACAAUGAAUGAUCAACGUCACCAGUCACCGCGGGCCUUCGCGCUCUGUGGUUUAGACUCCCACUAGCUGAGAGCAGGGCAGAAAGAGGAUCUGACAACUUUGAACUUUCUAUGUGAUUUUUGCCUUCGCCACAGUUGUUAUUAGGGUUCUAAAAAGGCAACAGCUCCCUACAAGAACGUCGAGUUUCUAAAUGAUUCAUCUUCUCACAGACCUUGAUAUUUAAUCCAGGUGUAGGAAUAAACAGUAGCCCUUGGGUCCUCUCCUCGGGGCUUGGAAAGGCUUCAGUGAAAUUCUAUAGCAAAAGGCCCCCGUG
ensembl:lncRNA